rnacentral:rRNA from 1 species
UACGAAGGGGGCUAGCGUUGCUCGGAAUCACUGGGCGUAAAGGGCGCGUAGGCGGCCUGAUCAGUCGGGGGUGAAAGCCUGUGGCUCAACCACAGAAUGGCCUUCGAUACUGGCGAUCUCGAGUUCGGGAGAGGUGAGUGGGAACUGCGAGUGUAGAGGUGAAAUUCGUAGAUAUUCGCAAGAACACCAGUGGCGAAGGCGGCUCACUGGCCCGAUACUGACGCUGAGGUGCGAAAGCGUGGGGAGCAAACAGGG